UUUGAUCACUCACAAGAGGAUUCAUACAAGUGGGAAACCUUAGAAAUGCACUGAGUGUGAGAGAGCUUUCUACUAAUGCUCAGCCCUUCUCGUUGUAAGAGAAUUCACACCGGAGAACAACUUUUUAAAUGCCUUCAGUGUCAGUUGUGCUGCAGACAGUAUGAACAUCUCAUUGGACCUCAGAAAACCCACCCUGGGGAGAAGCCCCAGCAAGUGUGAAAAAAGCUUCUAACAAAACUCUGACUUACCCAUCAGAGAAGCCAUACUGGUGAAAAAUUGUAUAUUUGUCUUACGUAUGGCAAAAGCAUUCAUUGGAGAGCCUUACUUGGGUUUGCACCCAAAAAAAAAAACCCAAUCUGAGGAAAGACUGCAAGUGUCUGAAUGAAGAGUGCUUGUCAAUGAUCAACUCUUGUGGUACAUCAGGGAACUCACAUAGGUGAAAAAACCCAUACUUACCUUGAGUCUGAGAAAACCUUUGGUAGAAGCUCCUGUCUUAUCAGGCCCCAAAAAACCUGUUCUGCAGUGAGAGAUUUAAUUGUGGUUCUGCCAAGGAAAGAGAAAAUACCUUUUAAUCCCAGGGAAAGGAUUGCAAUCACCACAUUAUAAGAUCCCUGAACUUCAGAGAGUAUUGCCAUUUGGAUUCAUGGAGUUGGCGAACUGCUACACUGCUACCUUGUGUAUGGCUCUAAGCUUUGAUCCUAAUGACUGGUUGAUGAUCAUGAUAAUAUUAGGGCCAGUGAAUAUAGCUCAUAGUGAUAAUAAGGAUUCUAGGGUAUUUUUUUUUUCUUUUAGAAAAAGAUCCUGGAAGUUUAUUUGAUCUGACAUGUUUUUGUAAUAUUUAGAAAUAGCUCUUGUAUCAUAAAAAGUUGCCCAGUAUAAGACACACAAGAUGUAUUUUUUUCUCUGGUGAAAAUCAUGCCUAUCACUAGUAUAUGUUUGACAUUUGUAGUAUACUUAAAAUAGUAUUGGGUGUGAGGCAUGGUGGUGAUGAAAAGUAGUCCUUACGGCUACUUGUUAGUCAUUAGAGAGAACAUGGAGAAGGGGUCAAAGUUGGUAUCAUUAACAGGGCAAUGACUUGACCCUUCUUUCAACUGAUCUUACUGGUAGUUGUCUCUAGUUUUUAAGUAAAUUAAUGAUGGACCAUCCCCCAAACAGAGAACUAUGGGGGUAUGAAACAAGGCUGAAGGCUUUUAACCAUGGGAGAAAAAGGUGUUGGUAUUAUUCAUAUAGCAUAACCUGAGGUUGGAGAGGACCACUUGGGAGCCUGUAACCAAAACUAGAAGGUAACUUCUGGGAUGGACGGAGGUUCCCUUGAAGCAGUGCCAACCUAAAUCUACCUCAGAACAGCCCUCAUGCUUGCAGUACAGCAUAGCUCGUCAAGUAUCAUCAGCCUCCUCCUUCAACAAAAUAUAAAUAUCUUUUCUCAAGACAUGUUUGGCCAAAUGGCUGAGGAUUAUGCUGUUUAUUGUGAUUUGAGAAGCAUUCAACAACAAAUUUUGGAACAUAAAAAUAAGAAACUUAAAAAUCAUCUUUGAAAUGACAAUCAAGAAACAGCAGCUAUGAAGCCUGCAAAUUUGAAAAAAAGAAAAGAAGGUGCAAAAGAACACGACUUAAAAGUGCCUUCAGAGGAAAAGCAAGAAAGGCUUGAAAGAAGUGAAAAUAAACAGCCACGGGAAAUAAAAGGUGGAGCUGAGAGAUGCUUUCCUUUGAGUAAAGACGUUAUGUCACCUGUGAAAUUUUAGUAGAUACAGAGCAUUGUUGAUAAGGUAUGUAGUCUUAUACUACUGAAAUAAUAAAGGUAAUGUCUUUAUGUUGCCACAUUUUAAGACCAUAAUGAAGCGGGUAAGUGGAA
rnacentral:lncRNA from 1 species